GAUGAAGAACGUAGCGAAAUGCGAUAAGUAGUGUGAAUUGCAGAGUUCAGUGAAUCAUCGAAUCUUUGAACGCACAUUGCGCCCUUUGGUAUUCCAAAGGGCAUGCCUGUUCGAGCGUCAUUUGUACCCUCAAGCUUUGCUUGGUGUUGGGCGUCUUGUCUCUAGCUUUGCUGGAGACUCGCCUUAAAGUAAUUGGCAGCCGGCCUACUGGUUUCGGAGCGCAGCACAAGUCGCACUCUCUAUCAGCAAAGGUCUAGCAUCCAUUAAGCCUUUUUUUCAACUUUUGACCUCGGAUCAGGUAGGGAUACCCGCUGAACUUAAGCAUAUCAAUAAGCGGAGGA
rnacentral:misc_RNA from 1 species